AAAAAAAAGGCAGACGUGAGAAAUCCAAGUUUUAUGAAAUCAAUGAGAUGCCCAAGUCAGACUUUCUGCCAAAUCGGUUAACAGUAGGACAUGGAUUCCUAAGAUAAUCUCUCCUCCGUCCCUCUUUGUCUCUCUCUCUUUUUGUCUGUGUGAUAAGAUGCUGAAGCUAUGGAAAUGGUACCAGCACUGCCUAUCUGUUCAUCCAGUGAAGACCCAAAUCAUUAGCUCAGGGAUUCUCUGGGGCAUUGGUGAUAUUGGUGCUCAAUACAUCACUCACUCAACCGCACUCAGC
rnacentral:misc_RNA from 1 species